rnacentral:tRNA from 1 species
AAGAUUUAGUUAAUAGAUAACAGUAGUUUAUCAGACUAUAAUUAAUGGUAUACAUAAAUCUUA